UGCUCAUUCAUUUGUGGUACUGUUCAUCUUCCAGGCUGCUACAUAUAGCGGAUGAGGAGCCCAUUCUGCCAACAACUCCUUUGCUCGCAGCAUGAGAGCUCCAUCCGGCAUGGAUAGCGAAGAAGACACCUCUUUAGACCAUCAGCACAUGGCUGUUGAUCUCACUCCUGCCGGCAUGGAUACGCUCUCUAACAGGUAUUUACCCCGUUCAGUGGCCAUCAGAAAGAUGCCGUCUCAUGUUUGAUUUACAUACUUAUCUUUUUCCCCUGAAAAAAUUACUCAAGCACCUGCGACCCCCUCCUUUCAGAUCAAACAAAGGCAUCACCGAGCUAUCAGAUUGUUCUAAUCCUGGCUGUGGUGUUGUUGAUUCAAUCACAGCGAAUCCAGAGUUCUCAGAACUGCAUUCUGGAAGAUCGGCACCUAAGCGGAAAAGUAAACGGGAAGCGUUUGAAGGAAUGGACUACAGAAUUGCCCCUGCAGUAAAAAGUCCGUUCCAGAAGUGUGUGGAGCGCACUGCUUUUAGGGGCGAUGCAGAUGUGUUCGUUCCAAGUGUUGGAACAAUCUUUGAUUCAAAGGAUGAAGCCUACGAUUUCUACAACAUGUUCUCUUGGGAGUGUGGUUUUGGUAUUCGCUAUGGAAAGAGUAGCACUAAUAACAAAAAUUACAGAACAAUGCAGGACAUCGUUUGCCAGUGUGCGGUAUGCAUCAUUUUAAUCUUAAUUGUUUGUUUUUGUCUCGGUCGGAUUAUUGGUUCAUACUUUUUUUGUCUGCCUUUCACUCUGUGUCUUUACCAUUAUUACAGGGCAAAGAAGAAAGGCCCAACACAACAACAUGCCGCACUGGUUGUGAAGCUCGUAUAAGACUACAUCGAACUGACGACCAUGGAUGGUAUGUGACCGUUUUCAUUAACAAGCACAAUCACCCACUAUCUGUGAAGUGUGGCGAGAAAAAACAGUGGAAAUCACAUAGCGUUAUAAGUCCUUUAGCAAAGGAUUUUAUUCGUAACCUCAGGGAGAACAACAUCAGGUUUGACCAGAUAUACAACAUAUUAGGGUCAGGUCUUGGCUCUUCUCUAGGCGUGCCUUUUAGGAAGCAGACAUUGAGAAUUCUGUGUGCAACCAUAGCUCAUGAUUCCAUCGCUGAUGAUAUGGCCAAAACCACUAGUAUACUUUAGGAUAUGAGUGCCACAGAUCCGGACUUCAAAGUUUGUGUGCAAGUAGACGGUGAAAGCAGGGUGAAAACAGUAAUAUGGUGUAAUGGUAAAAAUCGGCUGGAUUAUGCACAUUUCGGUGAUGUGGUUACUUUCGACACCACUUACAGGACCAACCUGUAUAACAUGCCAUUUGGGCUUUUUGUUGGUGUGAAUAACCAUUUCCAGUCUAUUAUUUUUGGCGGCGUCCUCAUGGUUGAUGAAAAGACUCCCACAUUUGAAUGGGCAUUCAGAAACUUUAUUGACUUGAUGGACGGGAAACAUCCUACUACUAUAUUGACAGAUCAAUGCAAAGCUAUGCAAAAUGCUUUACGAAGUACAAUGCCCCACACCCGUCA